rnacentral:misc_RNA from 1 species
GAUGAAGAACGCAGCGAAAUGCGAUAAGUAGUGUGAAUUGCAGAAUUCAGUGAAUCAUCGAAUCUUUGAACGCACAUUGCGCCAUUUGGUAUUCCUUAGGGCAUGUCUGUUCGAGCGUCAUUUAAACCUUCAAGCUAAGCUUGGUGUUGGGUGACUGUCCGCUUCACGGCGGACUCGCCUCAAAAUUAUUGGCGGCCGGUACAUUGGCUUCGAGCGCAGCAGAAACGCGAACUCGGGCCCGUCGUAUUGGCUCCCAGAAGCUAUCUUCACAAUUUUGACCUCGGAUCAGGUAGGGAUACCCGCUGAACUUAAGCAUAUCAAUAAGCGGAGGA